ensembl:lncRNA
GUCUGGUCUCCUUCACCACCAGUAGGUAAACUCCCUCUGUAGUCUGGUCUCCUUCACCACCAGCAGGUAAACUCCCUCUUUACCUCUGUAGUCUGGUCUCCUUCACCACCAGCAGGUAAACUCCCUCUUUACCUCUGUAGUCUGGUCUCCUUCCCCACCAGCAGGUAAACUCCCUCUUUACCUCUGUAGUCUGGUCUCCUUCACCACCAGCAGGUAAACUCCCUCUUUACCUCUGUAGUCUGGUCUCCUUCACCACCAGCAGGUAAACUCCCUCUUUACCUCUGUAGUCUGGUCUCCUUCCCCACCAGCAGGUAAACUCCCUCUUUAGUCUGGUCUCCUUCACCACCAGCAGGUAAACUCCCUCUGUAGUCUGGUCUCCUUCAC